CAUUAGAUGACUGAAAGUAAGUAUUGAUCUCUUAAAUCAACAAUAGUAAUUUACACCUACUUCUAAUGA
rnacentral:tRNA from 1 species